GCGAUGGCAUACCGCGUCCAUGACUCGCUGAAAACAGGGGACCCACUCAGUCGAGAAGUCUCGGGAGUUGAGCUCCCCGACUGCGCCACGUGUGGUAUGGAGGGUUUCUGGCGCGUCGCCUGUCUUCUGGCUUCUGCAUAGAAUGGAAUUGUCGUGAGACCUCGAGGCACCGGCGCAGAGCGUCUCCAGCGAUGUCUACUGCAGUUGGCAAAUCGAUUCCUCUUCUCCUCUCUCGAUGAAAAUAAGUAGUUGCAGCAUCGGGCACUGAGUCGAAGGAAGAGGUGGUGGAAUGGCGGCCAGGCAUGGAAGGGGGGAGCCGGAGACGAUGAUGGUCCACCUGCCGCGGCGGUCGAGAGGACAGAAACCAGGCUGCCGUCUGAAUCUUCGGGAUCUCUUGGACCAGGAGAGGAGUUAUCUGGCGUCGAUGGCGAUGGCGGCUGCCGGGACUCCUGCCUCCGACGUGGGGGUGGUUAUUUCUGGCUGCAAGGAGUCGUGCCAGACCCAGGCGGAGAUCCUUUUCGCCGAGCGUGACUUCUUGAGGAUGGAUCUGGAGUCGUCUACUGGGAAGCUGGAGCCAGAAAGGGCGCGGAAGGAUGCUGCGAUGCGAUCCAAUGAGAACAGUUUGGUACCGGGAAGAAAGAAGAUCGAUGCGAGAGCGGGCGAUCGGGGAGACCUAGAGGGUGGGAUAGAUGAUCUCGAAGAGAAGAUGCAGGAGCUCAAGCUGAGGAGAAGCCGGAGCAAAGGAAUCUCCAUGAAGCUUUCCCGAAGAAGGUACUUCCACCGGCAGUCGUCUGUGCUCCGGCGCGACAUGGUACUGAUCAAGGAAGACGCAGCGAUUUUGAAGGGCAUAAAAGAGGCGUCGUUGCUCAAUUUAGCCGUAUUAGGGAAGCGUCCAGAUGUUGAAGAGGAAAAGAUGGUGAUGCUGAAGAGGAAGAUGGAAGGGCUGUCGAGGGGCAUGCUUGAGAGAAUCGAGGAGUGUAGUCAUUUGCUCUCUUCUAAAAGCACCAGCAGUCAAGACAUUGUUUCAUACAAUGAAGCAGAGCACAUGCCUUUUCUCCACCUUGGGCAGCAGCUGCGGCAAGAGAAGUCGAUUGAGAAGCAGAAGGAGUUUAGAUGUUGUAGUUGCAUGGAAGCUGUUGGGAGGAUAAGGCAGCAAGUGUGGGCAGAGUCUGAGCAAUGGAGUGAGAUGCAACAGCUGCUGGAGCAAGUUAAGAUAGAAAUGGAAGAGAUCCGAUCUUCUAGAGACCAUUGGCAGCGACAAGCCGUUGCCUCUGAGAUCAAUUUCCACAUCCUACAUACUCAGAAGCUCAAGUGGAAGCGAAAGGCCCAAUCUUCUGAGUGCAAGGUAAUUGAUCUGCAGAACCUUGUGUUACAACAUGAGAAAGAGCUCCAAUCAUUGUGGAAGAAGAUUCCUGGUACUCCCAGUUCCUCUUCUCCACAGCACACUGAGUUGUGUAUCAAAAGGCGCUGGAGGAAAUUGCUCGACUCAAGUGAGGAGGAGAAGCAUGCUCCACCCUGUCACUUGAAGUCAGAGACCAGUAAUAGACGCUUACCAUUGCUUAAUAUCAACAACAUUUCUCAACCUCUUAGACCAAUAAUUGGAGCAUGGAGUCCAACAUGAUCCACAACACUUGAAAGCAUUCCGUUUCAGUUAGAUGGCAACCACCAAGCAUAAAAUUAGCUGUCUUUCUGAAUAUCUACUAAGUGUAACAUAGCAAGAGAUCCAGCAACUGAUAUGCAUACAAGCCACUGCCAGAAUAUACACAAUUAAGUAAGAAGAAAGGCAGUUGCAUCAAGUCAAGGGUGACUGAUCAUGGACAUCCAGGCACAAUAGGCGCACACAAUCCUCUGCGAGAUGUAGAUGUACACAGCGAAGGAGAAGCUCAUGAGCACUAGGUCUUUCCAGUCACCCUUCUGCUUUGGUGACAAGCAGUCCUUCAGCUCCCUGCCCAGCUUCCCAGCCUCACCAUAGAUUUCCACCAGCGAGAUGGGCCACCUCUUCCCCUGCUUUGUACUGUCACUUUGCUCCUCUUUCGGACUGCCAUCUCCGGCGGACAAGUAGCUGUGGCAGCAGAAGGUUUGCUUCGGUCUGGAUGCGUGGGCGAUGGAGUGGCGAGGAUUGCUUUGUCCUGCAUGAAGAAGAAGAGUGAAUGAAGAGGCAGCCAUGAGAGGAUGGACAGGAAGGUGAAGAUGGACAGAUAUUUUGGGUGAUUUCUUUUUUGAAGGGGGGAUAUUUUUGUGCAAUUAGCGUGAACAAGUGGAGCUCCUCUGAAUUCAAGGAGAAAGUGACAUUUGUGAUAUCUAAAUUGGUUUUUAGGGGUAUAUUGCUUUGUCCUUAGUGAAGAAGAAGAGUCAUAGAAGAUAGUAAGUUAGGGUUGGAUAUUGAUAUAAGAAUGUUGAGACAUUUUGCUGCGAGCAUUUUUCUGUUUUAUUCUAAUGAUGAGUGAAAUUUUUUUAUAGGAUUGGAUUAAAUUAAA